CGUAUUGUACCAAUAUUGCAUGUAUGUGAUCAUGUUUCAUAGCUAAAAUUUGAACACUAAACCCAAAAAAGUUUAUAAUAUUUGAUUCCAAUCUUUAGCCAUAUUGUUGAAUUUGAAACCCAACUCCAUGAGUUCCUUUGAUGAUAAACCAUUUUUGUUGGUAUCAGUAAAUUUGAACCAAAAGAAUCCAUACGUCUGUUAAGGGGCACACAUAGUGGCACCAGGAUGUUGAUUUGAAUACAAGGGUUAUGGUUAAUGAUAGGUUAAGAAAAUCUACAAAAGAGCCUAAGAUGAAUCCAAAGUAUUUGGAUUAACAAGCCACAACACGUAGAAGUCAUGCAGAGAAGACGUCCAAGUUGGAUCCACUAGCCGCUGAAGAAAUAGGACAUGUUUUAAUUUUCUGUUCUCAUUAUCCUAUUUCUGGGAGAUGUGAUUGGAGAAUUAGGAAAGAUUAAUAUUUAAAUUGCUUCAAGUGAAGAAUAAAGGGAGAGGAAUUCCAAUUUAGAUUUCUGCGACAGCAGACGACAUCGAGAGUUAUUCAAAGCAAAUUGUCCAAAUCCCAGAAACAGAAACUUGAAAAGGUAGAAAACAACUAAGAUUUGAGGUCGAUAGAUCGAUUGUAAUGGAAAAGAUUUCUAGGCCGCUUUCUUUUUCUCUUCUUAAGAUCAUGAGUUCCUUUACUGCUUACAACCACGUGCAACUUUAAGCAGCCAUUAAAGAAGAAAUGAAUCCUCUA